UAAUGCCGGAUGCUCCAGUUGAUCGCAUGGUCUUCUGGGAAAGCUUUCGCGGUAUGGGAUGGGGUCGCGUCCUAUCAGCUUGACGGCGGGGUAACGGCCCACCGUGGCUUCGACGGGUAGCCGGCCUGAGAGGGCGACCGGCCACAUUGGGACUGAGAUACGGCCCAGACUCCUACGGGAGGCAGCAGUGGGGAAUAUUGCACAAUGGGCGCAAGCCUGAUGCAGCGACGCCGCGUGAGGGAUGGAGGCCUUCGGGUUGUAAACCUCUUUUAUCGGGGAGCAAGCGAGAGUGAGUUUACCCGUUGAAUAAGCACCGGCUAACUACGUGCCAGCAGCCGCGGUAAUACGUAGGGUGCAAGCGUUAUCCGGAAUUAUUGGGCGUAAAGGGCUCGUAGGCGGUUCGUCGCGUCCGGUGUGAAAGUCCAUCGCUUAACGGUGGAUCCGCGCCGGGUACGGGCGGGCUUGAGUGCGGUAGGGGAGACUGGAAUUCCCGGUGUAACGGUGGAAUGUGUAGAUAUCGGG
rnacentral:rRNA from 1 species